rnacentral:tRNA from 1 species
AGAUCGCUAGCUCAAUUGGUUAGUAGCAUCCGACUUUUAAUCGGAAGGUUCUGGGUUCGAGUCCCAGGCGGUCUACCA